CGGCUGCUCAGUAACACGUAGUUAACCUAACCUAUGGACGGGGAUAACCUCGGGAAACUGAGAAUAAUCCCCGAUAGAUCACGGUGCCUGGAAUGGCCCGUGGUCCAAAUGAUUUAUCGCCGUAGGAUGGGACUGCGGCCUAUCAGCUAGUUGGUGAGGUAAUGGCCCACCAAGGCUAUAACAGGUACGGGCUCUGAGAGGAGGGGCCCGGAGAUGGGUACUGAGACACGGACCCAGGCCCUAUGGGGCGCAGCAGGCGAGAAACCUUUGCAAUGUGCGAAAGCACGACAAGGUUAAUCCGAGUGUCUCCUGCUAAAGGAGUCUUUUGCCGGUCAUAGAACCACCGGUGAAUAAGGGGUGGGCAAGUUCUGGUGUCAGCCGCCGCGGUAAAACCAGCACCUCGAGUGGUCAGGAGGUUUAUUGGGCCUAAAGCAUCCGUAGCCGGCUGCUCAAGUUUUCGGUUAAAUCUAUGCGCUCAACGUAUAGGCCGCCGAAAAUACUGGGCAGCUAGGGAGUGGGAGAGGUACACGGUACUCAAUAGGAAGGGGUAAAAUCCUUUGAUCUAUUGAUGACCACCUGUGGCGAAGGCGGUGUACCAGAACACGUUCGACGGUGAGGGAUGAAAGCUGGGGGAGCAAACCGGAUUAGAUACCCGGGUAGUCCCAGCUGUAAACGAUGCAGACUCGGUGAUGCAUUGGCUUGUGGCCAAUGCAGUGCCGCAGGGAAGCCGUUAAGUCUGCCGCCUGGGAAGUACGUACGCAAGUAUGAAACUUAAAGGAAUUGGCGGGGGAGCACCACAAGGGGUGAAGCCUGCGGUUCAAUUGGAGUCAACGCCAGAAAUCUUACCUGGGGCGACAGCAGAA
rnacentral:rRNA from 1 species